rnacentral:rRNA from 1 species
UACGGGGGGGAGCAAGCGUUGUUCGGAUUUACUGGGCGUAAAGGGCGCGUAGGCGGUCAGCACAAGUCAGUUGUGAAAUCUCCGGGCUUAACUCGGAAAGGUCAACUGAUACUGUGCGGCUAGAGUGCAGAAGGGGCAACUGGAAUUCUCGGUGUAGCGGUGAAAUGCGUAGAUAUCGAGAGGAACACCUGCGGCGAAGGCGGGUUGCUGGGCUGACACUGACGCUGAUGCGCGACAGCGUGGGGAGCAAACAGG